UCUCAGCUUCGUCUCGACCUCUUCCGAUCCAUCUCGUGCGCCAGCCCAAAUCCCGAACCCUAGCCAGCGCCCCAGCCCAGAUCCCUCCCCGCGCCGCCGCCAUGCGGAUCCGCAGGUCUGCCGCCCGCCUGCUCGGCUCCGCCUACUCCGCCCCCGCGCCGCCGCAACCAGACCUCCCGCUUCCGCCCCCGCCCCCGCCCCCGCCCCCGCCCCCGCCGCCGCCAGUACUGGAGCCCUGCUCCUCCCACGCGGGGGGCGACAGGGUCACGGCCGGGGGGACCUCCUCCGCGGAGCGGUGCGAGCUCAGCCGGUCGCCGUGGGAGCUCAUGGCCCAGCUCGACCCCUCCGAUCCCAAGGAGGUGGAACACUUCAUGGGGAAAUACUUCGUCAGUGUCCCAUGCCGGACGAGCUGGCUCUUCCAGGCCAGCAUUCUUGCGGCCUCCAUCAAGGGGGAGGAACAAGAGGAGGACAUGGCCGGAGAUAUGGCUGACGAGGUCUUUGCCAAACAGCGGCAUAAGGUUGCCAAGAUGAAAAGGACAGUCAGGGAAAACAGAGGGGGUGAGAAGAAUGCGUGGGGGCUGAAGAAGGCCACGGAGGUUCAGAGUGAUGAGGACGAUUUCGUAGCUGCCGGAGGAGGAGAACUUUGGGUGUGCACCAAGAACGACGGCAAGAGGAGGUUUUGCCGGCGGCCGGUGAGCCAGCCCGAUUCCUUUUGUGUAUAUCACUCAGAUCCUAAGUCUGCGCUGCCGCCGGCUUCAUCAGCAGCCUCCAAACCCUCCAUCAGCGCCAAGCCACGUAAGAGGAGGCGUGUCGAUGCAGGUGAGGGGUACUUAUACUACGCUGGGUUCGGCCCGUCCCUCAGCAAGAGGCAGAGAUCAAGCAGCAAUGUACUAGAAUCUUUACCUGCUGAGCAAGAGGAGGAGGCACUGCCUGAAGAGCAUACUGCAGGUCCAGCCCAAACUGUUGAUGCAGACCAUCAAGCGGCAUCAGCACACGUUGAUGAGCCUAGGUGCGAUGAGAUGGCCGGGAUUGCGGGCGGGGACGAGGAGAGCAGCGACGACGCGCUUGGCUGCAACGAUGAACCCCGGGUUGUUGGCGUCAACGGCAACAUCAAGAGGAAGAGCCCGUUUAAGAAGAGGUGGAGGAAGCCUGUGAAAGCUCGCUCACUCAAGUCAUUGAUGUGUUAGCACGCUUGUUAUACCUGUACAUGCAUGCCCAAUUGGUCUCCAUGAAGCAUACAUGAGAGAUUCAGGUAGAGCUUGGCUGGAUAUUGAGAUCAUGGAAGAUACCAACUCUGCUAUGGAUGAAGAAUCCCAUGCUUUGCUUAAGCCCUUGCGAGGAAGGAGAUAGCUGAAAGCAAAUAUCAUUUGAGGCAAGGAACCAAACAGAAAGCCAUAAACAGGUGGGGUUGUUCCAGCAAGUAACGAUCGAAGUUUCCGUUUGGGACGGUGGCCUCUUCGGCGGACAUAAUCAAUCAAUAGGACCAAAGGGGUGCGGCAAGCCUGGGGUGCUGGAAAAUGAAGAAACGCCUGACACUACUGUAUCAAACAGCAUCAACAUAUGAAUGAAGCUCUAUCUAUCUAUGCUCUGAACUUUAAUCCUACCCUGGCUGCUGGCAGGAAGAUGACAUCCAUCUCUUUCUUCCUUUCUGUCUAGUUCACUAUCCUGUGGAAGAAGUGGAAGAACCCAUAUGGUUUUGUAAUAGUAUUACUGUAUCAGGCUGUGGAAAAACCCAUAUCUUUUGUUAUGCGGCGUCGUGUCGUAAACGAGUAACAGCGGACAGCAAUGCUGUAUUCAGUGUGAGGAAUGUGGCAGCAACAA